GCUUGGGUUCGCGCCGAUUUGACAUCAACAGAUUGCGGGCGCGUUAGAAAUGCCGCUAAAGCGGGGCCGAUACCAGGAGUC
rnacentral:ncRNA from 1 species